GCUGGGCUCAGUGGUGCAUGUCUUUACUCCCAGCUACUCGGGAGGCUGAGGCUGGAGGAUUGCUUUAGUCCAGGAGUUCUGGGCUGUAAUGCACUAUGCCAUUCGGGUGUCCGCACUAAGUUCGGCAUCAAUAUGGUGACCUCCUGGGAGUGAGGGACCACCAGCUUGCCUAAAGAGGAGUGAACCAGCCCAGGUCAGAAAUUGAGCAGGUCAAAACUACCAGGCUGAUCAGUAGUGGGAUCACACCUGUGAAUAGCCACUGCACUCCAGCAUGGGCAACAUAGCGAGACCCUGUCUCU
rnacentral:SRP_RNA from 1 species